rnacentral:lncRNA from 1 species
UCGGGGUCCGGGCCGGAGCGUUGCCGUCGUAGGUCAACCUUGAUGCGUAUGUUCUAGGUUUGGACGAAGAUGGAGAGACAAUCCCCAAGGACUCCUUUGGUGUUCCCCUGGAGGAUGAUGCUAAACGGACAAGCUCCAGUGAGGAUCCGAUGCUGUGGAUCCACCGACUGCCAGCCUAGACACCAUCAUGACGUCUGGGCUAGCGACGAAGGCCAGCAAGCACGGGAAGCAGGAUGCCGUCCCGCGUGUCGCCUAGGGCUUUAUCUUCCGUGUUCUUUGCAAGUUACGCCUUUUCUUUCAACUCUAGUUUGUUAGUGCAUGGUUCCACCCACUUUGAUUGUAUUCAAUGCAAUGAACCAAUGGUCGUGGGACUUAUGCUUAUUUUUAAGUAUGCA